CCACUGCUGACGAGUCCCAUACUAGGACGAACCGGCCGUCCAGUGC
rnacentral:hammerhead_ribozyme from 1 species